ensembl:lncRNA
GGAAGACCGUGAUGCGGUUUGUCUACCAGAGUGACACUGCUUACAGAUGCUGUCCCACGUAGAGCUCGCUUAAAGAUGCUCGCUCGCCGCAGUGGUGACUGGGUGAGAGCGGGGAAGAGCAGGUGGAGAAAGCGAUCCAGACCAUAGGCGGCGGCCGCAGUGGGAGGGCGUUACUGCACGGAAAAGGCCGGCUUCUGCUUGAAGCUGUCCCUCUCAGUACGGCGGCCGGCCGGGGAUUGGCGCGAGGCUGUAGCUCUGAGUACGGUGGCCCGGUAGGGCCGAGCGUGAGGCUCCGACUCCCGUGACCUGGCGAGACCUGUGGCUGCGGCGCCGAGGUCCGAGCGUGUGUGCGCGCGGGUUGUGUCUGUGGCGGCGGCUAAGGCCGGAGCGUUUCGCGGGUUGCUGGCUCGUGCACGUGUUCAGUUCUCCAGUCCCGUCGCGGUGAGGGGUGGACUUGAGGCUGGCAGUCCAGGAGGUUGGGACUUAGUGUCUCUGGCCCCCGAGAGACCGGGUGUCUUGGGGGCUCUGACCCCAGAGGAGACCCUGCGGCCCCGUCUGGCCCCGGGGGCUUUGGGCGCCUCCCUCGUGGCUACUGUCUGGUGCCGUCCGUCCCGGGCUCCGAAGCUCGCGAACGCGAGCCUCCGCGGCAGCCGCCCUCCUCCCUGAGGCCCCUAGGUGUCCGGGCGCCGGCCGGGGCUCGCCGGCCCGGCCUCUCCGUUAAAAGAGAAGAAAACCCCGAAUCCCCACGAUCUCGUUGUCACCUCGGUCACUGCUUCAGACAGUGGCACAGCCUGGGUUUUGAGUCACUGGAAGUACCCAGAGGGAUUGGAGAAGCUUUGAAAGGACCUUGUGUUUUUGAGGCAGGCGGCAGAACCACUGAGCUAAAUCCCUGGCCCUCACAGAAUUCUUUAUUGGGAAAAGAUUAAGAAGGUAGACAUUCAAACAUUUUCUAUUUUUCUUGAGAUUCCCACUUUUUAUUAGUGUAUAUUUGUGAUACAUAGUAG